rnacentral:rRNA from 1 species
CUUAAUCGAUUUCUUUNAUCAAUAUUCAUAUACCGAAAUAGGUUAGAUCUUAUUUUUAAUUGGACUUGGGUCCAUUCCUUUCUAGGUAAGUUAGGUUAAAUUAAUAUUAUGUUGUGAUAAAUUAUUCGGUAACUUUUAUAGCUGUUUAACAGUGUAUUUUUAUUCUUAGCUGUUGGGCUAUGAGGUCCAAUAGUAAUUAAUAUCGUUUGUAUGUGUUUUCUUAAAAGGGUUAGAGUUACCCUAUUUUUGUAGAAGUGUUACUAUUUUUUUUUAGUGUGUGGUUUGAUUUAGUGUAGAAGCUGUUGGUUUUUAAUUUUUAGUGUGUUUUUAUGUUUAAAUUAGUAGCCAAAAAAUAAUUUAUUGUUUCUCAUAAAUCGCCCGUCUGUUUAUUAAAAACAUUUCCACGUGAGGUUUAUGCGUGGUAGUACCUGCUCUAUGUUAGUUAUAAAUGGCCGCAGUAUUUUGACUGUGCGAAGGUAGCAUAAUUAAUUGCCUUAUAAUUGAAGGCUUGUUUGAAUGGUUUAACGAGGUGAUAUAGAACAUUAAUUAUUUUUGCGAAUUUAAUGUUGGGGGCACAGAAUCCCCAACGGUUAAUUAGACGGAAAGACCCCGGGAUCUUUUAUUUUUGUCUGGGGCAGAUCGCAGUACUUCACUUGCGAAUUAGACCCUUUAUGGCUAGUGGGUUAAGUUACCCCGGGGAUAACAGUGUAAUAGUCUAUAAGAGAUCAUAUCGAAUUGACUGUUUGCCACCUCGAUGUUGACUUAGGUUUAGGCUUAGGCGCAGUAGUUUAAGUCUUGGGUCUGUUCG